rnacentral:rRNA from 1 species
UACGUAGGGUGCAAGCGUUUGUCCGGAAUUAUUGGGCGUAAAGGGCUCGUAGGCGGUCUGUCACGUCGGGAGUGAAAACUCAGGGCUUAACCCUGAGCCUGCUUCCGAUACGGGCAGACUAGAGGUAUGCAGGGGAGAACGGAAUUCCUGGUGUAGCGGUGAAAUGCGCAGAUAUCAGGAGGAACACCGGUGGCGAAGGCGGUUCUCUGGGCAUUACCUGACGCUGAGGAGCGAAAGUGUGGGGAGCGAACAGG